rnacentral:rRNA from 1 species
AUUGAACGCUGGCGGCAUGCCUUACACAUGCAAGUCGAACGGUAACAGGUCUUCGGAUGCUGACGAGUGGCGAACGGGUGAGUAAUACAUCGGAACGUGCCCGAUCGUGGGGGAUAACGGAGCGAAAGCUUUGCUAAUACCGCAUACGAUCUACGGAUGAAAGCAGGGGACCGCAAGGCCUUGCGCGGACGGAGCGGCCGAUGGCAGAUUAGGUAGUUGGUGGGAUAAAAGCUUACCAAGCCGACGAUCUGUAGCUGGUCUGAGAGGACGACCAGCCACACUGGGACUGAGGCACGGCCCAGACUCCUACGGGAGGCAGCAGUGGGGAAUUUUGGACAAUGGGCGAAAGCCUGAUCCAGCCAUGCCGCGUGCAGGAUGAAGGCCUUCGGGUUGUAAACUGCUUUUGUACGGAGCGAAAAGCCUCUUUCUAAUAAAGAGAGGUCAUGACGGUACCGUAAGAAUAAGCACCAGCUAACUACGUGCCAGCCGCCGCGGUAAAAC